rnacentral:rRNA from 1 species
ACGAACGCUGGCGGCAGGCUUAACACAUGCAAGUCGAACGCAUCGCAAGAUGAGUGGCAGACGGGUGAGUAACGCGUGGGAAUCUACCCAACCCUACGGAAUAGCUCCGGGAAACUGGAAUUAAUACCGUAUACGCCCUUCGGGGGAAAGAUUUAUCGGGGAUGGAUGAGCCCGCGUUGGAUUAGCUAGUUGGUGGGGUAAAGGCCUACCAAGGCGACGAUCCAUAGCUGGUCUGAGAGGAUGAUCAGCCACAUUGGGACUGAGACACGGCCCAAACUCCUACGGGAGGCAGCAGUGGGGAAUAUUGGACAAUGGGCGCAAGCCUGAUCCAGCCAUGCCGCGUGAGUGAUGAAGGUCUUAGGAUUGUAAAGCUCUUUCACCGGAGAAGAUAAUGACGGUAUCCGGAGAAGAAGCCCCGGCUAACUUCGU